rnacentral:snRNA from 1 species
AUACUUACCUGGCAGGGGAGACACCAUGAUCAAGAAGGCGGUUCACCCAGGGCGAGGCUUGUCCAUUGCACUCCGGCCAUGCUGACCACUUCGAAUUCCCCAAAUGCGGGAAUCUCGACUGCAUAAUUUAUGGUACUGGGGGACUGCGUUCGCGCUCUCCCCCG